rnacentral:misc_RNA from 1 species
GAUGAAGAACGUAGCAAAAUGCGAUACUUGGUGUGAAUUGCAGAAUCCCGUGAACCAUCGAGUUUUUGAACGCAAGUUGCGCCCGAAGCCUUUUGGCCGAGGGCACGUCUGCCUGGGCGUCACGCAUCGCGUCGCCCCCCCACAAUUCUCCGUAAAGGGAACAUGUGUUUUGGGGGCGGAUAUUGGUCUCCCGUGCUCAUGGCGUGGUUGGCCGAAAUAGGAGUCCUUUCGAUGGACGCACGAACUAGUGGUGGUCGUAAAAACCCUCGUCUUUUGUUUCGUGCUGUUAGUCGCAAGGGAAACUCUAAGAAAACCCCAACGUGUCGUCUUUUGACGGCGCUUCGACCGCGACCCCAGGUCAGGCGGGACUACCCGCUGAGUUUAAGCAUAUCAAUAAGCGGAGGA